rnacentral:tRNA from 1 species
ACUUUAAAGGAUAGUAGCCA